rnacentral:rRNA from 1 species
GACGAACGCUGGCGGCGUGCUUAACACAUGCAAGUCGAACGGUGAUCUUGAGAGCUUGCUCUUGGGUGAUCAGUGGCGAACGGGUGAGUAACACGUGAGUAACCUGCCCCAGACUCUGGGAUACCCCCGGGAAACCGGAGCUAAUACCGGAUAUGACACUCGCACGCCUGUGCGGGGUGUGGAAAGUUUUUCGGUCUGGGAUGGACUCGCGGCCCAUCAGCUUGUUGGUGAGGUAGUGGCUCACCAAGGCGACGACGGGUAGCCGGCCUGAGAGGGCGACCGGCCACACUGGGACUGAGACACGGCCCAGACUCCUACGGGAGGCAGCAGUGGGGAAUAUUGCACAAUGGGCGAAAGCCUGAUGCAGCGACGCCGCGUGAGGGAUGACGGCCUUCGGGUUGUAAACCUCUUUCAGCAGGGAAGAAGCGAAAGUGACGGUACCUGCAGAAGAAGCACCGGCUAACUACGUGCCAGCCGCCGCAGUAACAC